rnacentral:rRNA from 1 species
UACGAGAGGUGCGAGCGUUGUUCGGAUUUACUGGGUGUAAAGGGUGCGCAGGCGGCAUGUUAAGUCAACUGUUAAAUCUUCCGGCCUAACUGGAAGUCUGCAGUAGAAACUGGCAAGCUUGAGUGUGGAAGAGAGGAGUGGAAUUCUCGGAGUAGCGGUAAAAUGCGUAGAUCUCGAGAGGAACACCGAUGGCGAAAGCAGCUCUUUGGUCCAUUUCUGACGCUCAUGCACGAAAGCGUGGGGAGCAAACAGG